rnacentral:rRNA from 1 species
AACGAACGCUGGCGGCAUGCCUAACACAUGCAAGUCGAACGAGACCUUCGGGUCUAGUGGCGCACGGGUGCGUAACGCGUGGGAAUCUGCCCUUGGGUUCGGAAUAACAGUUAGAAAUGACUGCUAAUACCGAAUGAUGUCUUCGGACCAAAGAUUUAUCGCCCAGGGAUGAGCCCGCGUCGGAGUAGCUAGUUGGUAGGGUAAAAGCCUACCAAGGCGACGAUCCGUAGCUGGUCUGAGAGGAUGAUCAGCCACACUGGGACUGAGACACGGCCCAGACUCCUACGGGAGGCAGCAGUGGGGAAUAUUGGACAAUGGGCGAAAGCCUGAUCCAGCAAUGCCGCGUGAGUGAUGAAGGCCUUAGGGUUGUAAAGCUCUUUUACCCGGGAUGAUAAUGACAGUACCGGGAGAAUAAGCCCCGGCUAACUCCGUGCCAGCCGCCGCAGUAA